CAUCUGGGAACUAUUUCUUUGUUCUGUUCCCAGGUGAUGAUAAGACAAUGUGGUCGGCUAUAAAAACUCUGUACCCCAGCUGUUCGAGACCGCACUCUGGUCCAGAGUGUUGGUCCUGAUCGUCUGCCUUGCCUCUCAUUGCAAUAAACUUUGUUGUGACUAUCACUGGUGCCCGUAGCAUUUUGUUUCAGGAGUCAUGUGGGUGCAACAUUUGGUGCAUUGGCCUGGAAAGUUAAAAGUCUGAAACAGGGCCCUUUCCAUGGAUUGCUCCACCAACCCUUGGAAGGAAGCUCAGGAUUGGGAAGAGGCCCCUCCUUGAAACUAUAUUUGUGACCCAUCAGCCAACUUGGGAUGACUGCCAGCAGCUGUUGCAGGUUCUCUUCACCACUGAGGAGUGGGAUAAGAUCCAUCACGAGGCCCAGAAAUUAGUGAUGGGACCAAACCCACUGAGGGGCAACACACCGAGGAUCCCGCCGUACUCGAAGUUUUUCCUUCCUCGCAUCCUGAAAAUUGGGACCCAAACACUCCUCACGCUAUGCCCUUGCAACUGCGCAUGUGCACGGGUCCAUCAAUCAAGAGCGCGGCCUCCUCACGGCGGAGGGCAAGAACAUUCUAGACCUUCUGGCAGCCAUCUGGGAGCCUGUGAGACUCCCGAUCAUUCACUGCCUGGGACAUCAAAAAGGCAGCUCCCUAGAGGCAGUAGGAACACCCCUGGCUGACUCGGCAGCACGGGAAGCUUCCCUAACUGAAAGUAAAAGUGUUUUGGGACUAUUGAUCCCCUGCUUCCCCCGGAGCCCAAUUUCACUCCUAAAGAUUUGGAGUGGAUUUCAAGAAAAGGGGGAAGUAUGAUACCGGGAGGAAGUGGCUUCAGGAUCCUGAAGGUAAGAUACUCUUACCCGCGACACUCGGGCGAUGCACAAGGUGCGUCUGCUCCCCCAAGGGACUCCUAUCUGGGAAAAACAAAGAUGGCAGAAUUGGUGCAGAAAAGCUCAGGGUGCAAGGGCUGGGAAAAGAGAUGGAGGAGACGGUUGAAAGAUGUGUAAGUUGCACCCAAGUAAAUCAGGGUGCAAAUAAGGUUUCGGAAGUUAAAAGACAUAGAGGAACUGAGCCAGGCCGGUUUUGGGAAGUCGAUUUUACUGAAAUUAAACCAGGGAAAUACAAAUACAAAUAUUUGCUUGUUUUUGUGGACACCUUCUGCGGUGGGUUGAGGCAUUCCCCACUAAAUCAGAAACGGCUCAGAUGACAGUUAAGAAAUUAUUAAAUGAACUAAUUCCUAGAUUCGGGCUGCCUCUGAGCAUAGGACCGGACAAUGCCCCAGCCUUCACUGCACAGGUAUCGUAGGGUCUAGCCAGAGCAUUGGGAAAAGGAUGAAUCGGAAGGAGACCUUAACCAAAUUGUCCCUUGAGACUGGCGAAAAUUGGGUUGAUGUUCUUCUGCCUUUUGCCCUCUUACCUGACAUUCACUGUAAAACGUUCAGGGGUCCUACCAUUUCUGUUCAGGAAAUCUUGUAGUUUAUUGUUAUAAUGAUGGUGGCAUGUUUGGGUGUUAUUUUAAUUCAUGAGACAGAAAGAAACAGAUUCAUGUGUAAUGGUGAAUAUUGGACCACUACUGCUUUUCACAUUUGUAAAUUGGUUUUAUGUUAAACCCUGUAGCCUAACAAACUGCUGUUAUUUCUGGAAGACAUGUAUUAAUAUUGUACUUUGAAGGUUAUAAAUAUUAUGUGAAAAUUC